GACGAACGCUGGCGGCGCGCUUAACACAUGCAAGUCGAGCGAAGCGGCGGACGGGUGAGUAACACGUGAGUAACCUGCCUUAGACAUUGGGAUAGCCUCGGGAAACCGGGAUUAAUACCAAAUGGUCUAAGAUGGGCUGGCGUCCCAUUAGCUGGUUGGUGAGGUAACGGCCCACCAAGGCGACGAUGGGUAGCCGGCGUGGGAGGUAGAACGGCCACAUUGGAAGUAGGAAGCAGUCGAGACUCUACGGGAGGGAGCAGUGGAGAAUAUUGCACAAUGGAGGGAACUCUGAAGCAGCGACGCCGCGAGAACGAAGAAGGCUUUCGAGUCGUAAAUGUCUUUUAUAUGGGAAGCGGUACCAUAAGAAAAAGCCCCGGCUAACUACGUGCCAGCAGCCGCGGUAAUUC
rnacentral:rRNA from 1 species